UAGCGUGUCGCACCCCCUCCUCCUCUCCCGCAUCUCGUCCACCCUGGGAUCCGAGCGCAGAGUCGACCUUACCCAGCGGCGGCGCUCCAUUCAAUCUGCAAGAGAGAGAGAGAGAGAGAGACCGAGAGAGAGAGAGAGGAUGAGAGGGAGAAGAAGGAAAGAGAGGAGGGAGAAAGAGAGAGGAAAUAGGAGAGGGAGGCGUGGCGUCCGAUGGGAGAGGGUCACCGCCGGCGUCCGCCUGCACCGGCGAGGUCGGGUCCUCGAGCCAUGGAGGCACUCGUCAAUGGGCCCUCGCUAUUGGCCUCCCGUGCGCCGCACCGCCCCUCUUGCCGCCUCGGCUCUCUCCUCCCGCCUCGGUAGAUUGGAUCGUGGGUGCUACGCCGCCGUCGCCGACUGGAUUUGCUCCUCCAUCGUCGCCGCAAGUGAACUCCACCGUUGUCGCCAGGAAUCCGUCCCCCCUGCUGCAGCCUGCUCGUCUUCCGGUUGCUGCAGUCGGCAUCGCGGCCCUGCAGAGGGCGUUGAAUAGGGUUUGGGUGGGGUUGACUCCUAUAACGAUGGCUGGCUACAUCAACCAGCAGCUGCACCUCCUUCGACUUCCGCAAUAUCGCCCACCGAGCUGUGUUGCUGUACGAAGACCUUCUGUAUUUUGGUGGUGCCAUGGUGUUCCUCUCCAGGUUAACGAGUGUGCUCCCGGCGGCUCCAGUGAUGCGGGGUGAUUGCGCCCGGUCCAUGCUCCGGUGUCUUUGUUGGCUGAGCUGAACAAGCUACAGAGAGUGGCUUCUUUCGAGCUGGUAUAUUGGGAUAUUUAUGCACUCGUUAACGAGUGUGCUCCCGGCGGCUCCAGUGAUGCGGGGUGAUUGCGCCCGGUCCAUGCUCCGGUGUCUUUGUUGGCUGAGCUGAACAAGCUACAGAGAGUGGCUUCUUUCGAGCUGGUAUAUUGGGAUAUUUAUGCACUCGUAGGUCACACCUCAUGAAGCUACUACCGUGCAUUGAUUCUGUCGAGAUUGAUUAAAAUAACAUUUUAUUAGUUUCCUAUUACCAUUUCCCAUGAAACAUGAUGAUUAUGUUCAGUGAGGUUCUCAAUUUAAUAGUCUGAAUGCGCAUAUGUUCGAUAUUAAAUUUGAUAACAAAGACCAAUAGUUUUUGGCCCUUUGCAUGGGGUAUUCCUUUCUUUGAGAAACAUUUUUGACUAAAGCUUCUUCGAUGCCCCAUGGACGCUCAGGUUUGCUUUCAUAGAUGCAGCGAAUAUCUAAAAUGUAUUGCAGUUCAUGAGUUAUUUAGCAAUGAUAAAAUGUUCUCUAUCGUUAUUUGCUUUUAGUAUGUAAGUAACAAGCUCCCCGAGUAGUGGUGGAUCUUUAUAUUAGCACUUGACUGAGCAGUUCGACAAUGUUUAUAAUUUAUCGUUGUCAAGUCAGCCUUUGCGUGAUUCAAAAAGAACACACAGACUGCUGCACGGUACUAAAUUAUUUUUUAGCUGGGGUUGUUCAAUAGGAUUUAGAUUUUAAGCAGAAUAGGAUACAGAUCAGCGGUCCAUGUUUACAUACACUGGCAUAAGAAUUUGUUGUGCGGCAAGGAUUUGUACAUAUUUAAAGGGGAAUUAGUAGCUAACAUCUUUGUAACGGCACAUUGUUCCAUGAUUCUUCUUGUAAGAUACUAAGAUCUCUUGAUGAUGCUUUGUUUGAUGUUCUGUGUGGAAGUUAUUUGCAUUGCACUUCACUUCAGAACAUGGAGGCUAAGAGCCUCACCAAUUGGUGCCUAUUUCUUGUGUUUAUGCAAAUGGUAGCCAUUAAUGAAUACCUUGAGCUAUACGACUCCUCUGGCAGACUUCAUAUAGCUAUUGUCUAAUACGCAUUAGUAUAUAUUAUUUAUCAGUCCGGUUGCAAACUUCUCAUGCAAUAACCUUCUUUUUAUCAGUUUAGUUUAACUAUUUUUUAGAAAAGAACAUCCUUACCAAGCCUGCACAUUUUAAGGUCGUGAGGCUUCAGUUUACUCUGUUUGCCUCACUACAGGAGAACAUUCAGGUACUUAUUGAACGGUUUCACCUCUGCUAUUCCCAAGAUAUGCUCAGCCAUUUUGUACUGGCACUCUACUAAUUAUUCUGGCUGUUAUCCAUGUUACUGUCAUUUAUCAUGAUAAAAGUCGACUCACGGCUGUGCCAGGUUAACUUAGUUCAAUUUUGAUAUGCCUAGAGUUCAGAUGUUGGGCUAUAAUUUUGAUAUGCUUUUGGUUAUGUAAUUGCAGAAAAAACAAAUUAUAGCCAUAUUUUGUAGCGAUCAUAUUAUUGUGAUGCUGGUUCUCAAAUUUAUGCGGGUACUUCUCGUGUUUUGUUAAUAGCUCACCAGUUUCAUUCCCUUUUGGUUUUUGAAUAUACAUCCGUGCCCCUCUUUUAUAUCUUCUUGGUUAUUUCUUAUCUUUUUAGUUCUCAUUUGUACAUAAGUAAUACUAGCAUCAGUCUGUGUGUUCUUACAUAACAGGUAGUCUCUAAGCUACCGAUUCAGUACCAAGCUUACGUUGUAUUAUCUUUUAGGCUGAAAGCAAAAGGCAAAAACAAUGAACAAUGUAAAAGCCCUCAACACUGAAGUACAGUCUAAGAAGAAAAGUACAAGGAAGAAAAUGAAAAAGCAGCAAACAUCUGAUAAUAUGCAAAAUCCCAUUUAGAGUAUGAACCAUAGUGAAAAAAGAUUCAGUUUAGUUACUAAAAGUUCUUUACAUGCAGAUCACUUUCUACAUGUUUCUGCAAUUCUCUCCUAUUAUAUGGUUUGGUGUUUGUCCCGGUGUGCCGUGUUUGGUAUCCCAUUUCAUCAUCUUUAAGUUGAAUGGACACUAUUUUGUUUAUCAAUCACUUUUGAACUAAUAUUCUUUCAUCAAGUCUUUUAUACAUAAAAAAACUUAACUGGAAUUUAAGAAAGUUUGACACUGCAUCACUGGUUCAUUCAAUAAAAUUUUCUGCUCUCCAAUUUAACUGUCUAUGGCUGAUUGUGAUAGUGAAGGUCGAUAUUUUGAUUUCUAAUAGAAUAUACAUCUUAGUUUUCCUCUAUCUAUGUAGAGGGCUCAAGAAAGAGACAAGAACUUGUGCUUCAAGCGGCAAAGAUAGCCAGCCUAAAUGAAUCGAAACAAGAACAAGCAUCGGGAAAUUACAGAUGAGGAAGUGCAGCUGGUAUCGUCACUCCCUUUUUGCCCCAAAUCAACCACAGAAAAAACUGCUUGACAAUCAUCUUCUUGCCAAUUUAUAAUUGAAUUCCUACUAUGAUUCGCUUCCUAAAAGAAAUAGCAAUCAUCUUGAAACAAGUAAUUUAUCUAGCUACAAAUGCUUAUUCUAUACUGAUUAUGCUGCCUCCAAUUGCGGACAGUGGUUUAUAGUUGACACUUUAGUCUACAUGUCUGCUAAUAUUUACAUGUCUGCAUGACCAAAAAAAUCAGAUAGUCUACUUAAACUUUAGUGAUGCAGUUAUUCUACUUCUUUUGGCUAGAUGUUCAGCAAGGGUCGCACAUCUGAAACAAGUAACUGGCUUGCUUUUGGUACACGUUCCCUGUAUAUAACUCGCUUUUCUAUUUCUUGAGGACAACACCAUAUAGAGCUUUUAGAGGCUGGUCCUGGUUUUAGAUACAAAGCACCUGAUUGUUCUCUGUAAAUUUAUUCUGCUCCUUACAUGAGGGUCUGUGCUACUUUCAACUCGAAUGCAGAUUUUACUGUAUGAUGUAAAUUAAAUCGUUCGUUUCUACUGCAUGUUAAAGGAGUUGGCCAAUAUUGGCAUGAAGCUAUAAAAGCUAGCUGGCUAUGGAGAAUUUUGCCACUGGUGAUGAAUUGCCACCUUUUCCUUGCUUGCCAUCAUGCCAUGAUUCGAAAUUUAGUUGUCAGGCUAGGUAAAGCACGCUGAGACUACCAAAAAGGAUUACGUGCGCUCCCAUCAUGCAUUUGCACCUCUAAACUUAGUUUGUUGACUAAAUUGUGUAGUUCCCUUUUGCCGAAGAAUGUUCUGGACUAGAUAGCCAGCUUGCUGUUGCUGUUUGUAACUUUUCAGUCGGGCUCUUAUGUUAAAGCUUAAACCAUAUAUAUGUAAUGUGUGCGGUGGUUUGUAGGACUUCAUAGGUGUUGUACUAAAAUUCAGUUUUAAUGGAGUUCAGUUCAGUUAUGUUCUAGACUAGAUAUCAUUCAAAAAAUGGCCACACGUGGAUGUAGAGUCAUAAAAGAGUCAGGGAAGAGGGAGGUACCUUGGUAGAUUUCCCAGGGGCAUUGGCAAUGUAAGCGACAGGGCACCCCUCCGCCUGCCUUGCUCAUUCACACUUCUUUUUUGUUUGGGGAGGGGCGGGUUGCAAUCUAGGCCGGGCGGGACACUGGAAACUGUGAGCAAAAAGUUAAUCCAACCUGAGCUCCAAAUGAAAUUAGAUGAUUUUUUUCCAAAACUACUGUAUGAAGCGAAAACAAGUAUGUACAUGAGUCGACCAGACAAUGGACAAAAAUCCGGCCUGAACCGAAAUAAAAAAACAGAUGUCUGUUGAUUAGACACUCCCAUAAUACAUGCCAGGAAUGUGUUUUCAUAUUGUUCAUUUUGUGGAUAUUUGAUAUAAGCAUAAUUGUAUCCUGAUAUUUGGCUUGGUACUCCAUUGUAUAGCUAAUAUAACUGAGUUUCAGAGAAGGUCAGACCAUGCCUUGUCUAUACAUAUCUAAUAUAUUUAUCUUGAUAUUGCAGAAGAUUUUGUUUUGUUCUUAUAUCUAAUGCUUGAUCUGUUGUAUAGGCUAAUAUAGGUCUUGCAAUGUGCAUGUCAGGGACAUAAGUUGCUAAAGGAAGCUCCGACAUUAUAAUCUUAGAUGAUGACUUCACAUCUCUUGUAGAAAUUAGAACUGAGGGCCUUUUAAAAUGAGUCCUGCAUAAUAGUGUUGUUCUGUGGGAUGCAGAAUUUUUGUUUGUACUGAUUUACGUACUGAUUUCAUCAUCAUAUGACUACAAUGAAGAUGUGUGUAUAAAUAUUACUAACUGAUGAUACUUCGCAUCAGGGAUUUCAAUUCUGUGGGCCCUCCUUCAGAUUGCAUGGGAAUGUGAGGCUUAAAAGUUUCAACCCUGUGCAAUGUGCUUCUCGGGUGUGGAUUUGUGUCUGACUAAUUAACGGUUCUGUUAAUACUGAUAUGUACUUGUACAUUAUAUGGGUAUUGCAUUGCUUGUACUUAUAGUAA